rnacentral:rRNA from 1 species
UACGUAGGGACCAAGCGUUGUUCGGAUUUACUGGGCGUAAAGAGCGCGCAGGCGGUCGAUCAAGUCGAGUGUGAAAGCCCCCGGCUCAACUGGGGAGGGUCAUUCGAUACUGCUCGACUCGAAGGCAGGAGAGGGUAGUGGAAUUCCCGGUGUAGUGGUGAAAUGCGUAGAUAUCGGGAGGAACACCUGCGGCGAAGGCGGGUUGCUGGGCUGAUACUGACGCUGAGGCGCGAAAGCCAGGGGAGCGAACGGG